rnacentral:rRNA from 1 species
UACGUAGGGUGCAAGCGUUGUCCGGAAUUAUUGGGCGUAAAGAGCUCGUAGGCGGUCUGUCGCGUCGGCUGUGAAAACCCGAGGCUCAACCUCGGGCCUGCAGUCGAUACGGGCAAACUAGAGUACUGCAGGGGAGACUGGAAUUCCUGGUGUAGCGGUGAAAUGCGCAGAUAUCGGGAGGAACACCAAUUGCGAAGGCAGCUCGCUGGGACGUCACUGACGCUGAGACGCGAAAGCGUGGGGAGCGAACAGG